GACGAACGCUGGCGGCGUGCUUAACACAUGCAAGUCGAACGGUGAAGGGAUCAGCUUGCUGGUUCUGGAUGAGUGGCGAACGGGUGAGUAACACGUGAGUAACCUGCCCCCUUCUUCUGGAUAACCGCAUGAAAGUGUGGCUAAUACGGGAUAUUCUGCGCCUGCUGCAUGGUGGGUGUGGGAAAGAUAUUGUUUCGGUGGGGGAUGGGCUCGCGGCCUAUCAGCUUGUUGGCGGGGUGAUGGCCUACCAAGGCGGUGACGGGUAGCCGGCCUGAGAGGGUGGACGGUCACACUGGGACUGAGACACGGCCCAGACUCCUACGGGAGGCAGCAGUGGGGAAUAUUGCACAAUGGGCGCAAGCCUGAUGCAGCGACGCCGCGUGAGGGAUGGAGGCCUUCGGGUUGUGAACCUCUUUCGCCAGUGAAGCAGGCCUGUCCCUUGUGGGUGGGUUGACGGUAGCUGGAUAAGAAGCGCCGGCUAACUACGUG
rnacentral:rRNA from 1 species